UGGGGAAUAUUGCACAAUGGGCGCAAGCCUGAUGCAGCCAUGCCGCGUGUAUGAAGAAGGCCUUCGGGUUGUAAAGUACUUUCAGCGGGGAGGAAGGGAGUAAAGUUAAUACCUUUACUCAUUGACGUUACCCGCAGAAGAAGCACCGGCUAACUCCGUGCCAGCAGCCGCGGUAAUACGGAGGGUGCAAGCAUUAAUCGGAAUUACUGGGCGUAAAGCGCACGCAGGCGGUUUGUUAAGUCAGAUGUGAAAUCCCCGGGCUCAACCUGGGAACUGCAUCUGAUACUGGCAAGCUUGAGUCUCGUAGAGGGGGGUAGAAUUCCAGGUGUAGCGGUGAAAUGCGUAGAGAUCUGGAGGAAUACCGGUGGCGAAGGCGGCCCCCUGGACAAAGACUGACGCUCAGGUGCGAAAGCGUGGGGAGCAAACAGG
rnacentral:rRNA from 1 species